UACGUAGGGACCGAGCGUUGUCCGGAUUCAUUGGGCGUAAAGAGCUCGUAGGCGGCCACUCAAGUCGAAUGUGAAACCUCGAGGCUUAACCUCGAGCCUGCAUUCGAUACUGGGCGGCUAGAGUCUGGUAGGGGGAUCUGGAAUUCCUAGUGUAGCGGUGGAAUGCGCAGAUAUCAGGAGGAACACCGGUGGCGAAGGCGGGAUCCUGGGCCAAUACUGACGCUGAGGAGCGAAAGCGUGGGGAGCAAACAGG
rnacentral:rRNA from 1 species